GAGGAAAAAAAAAAGAGAGAGAGAGAAAUAAAAGGAGGCUUUUGCUCUGCAGUUAGAUCUCUCAUUUGUGGGCAUCUGCCUACACACUUCUGCCUAUUUGAAGCAGAUCAACCCAUGUGAGCGCUACUGUGAUCAGAAUGGUGCACUUACAUACAGCCUUGCUGAUUUUGGUGAAGCAAAGGGUCUCCAAAGCUGUGCAGCAGUCACCAUGUCUUCUGUGGCAAGCUGUCCACUGAUAAAGCAAAAGAGAGGAAGAGUCCAGCUACUUCCCCUUAAAAUUACACUGAAAGUUACACAGUGCCACCAGCAUGCAGAAUCCCUUUCCAUGAUACUGUGCUCUGAGUAAGUCAAAAGAAUGACGUUUGACAGCUGUGACAUUCAUGGGCAACGCAUUUGAAAAAGAAGGCAUAAAUAUUCAGAGACAUAUUAGAAUGCUGUUCAAUGUUUGACACCAAAGCAAGACCUGAUGCCACAGGGAUCAUCAGAAUCUAGUAAACAGAAAUAUCUAAGAAGAGCAGAUGCACAUUGUGUCU
rnacentral:lncRNA from 1 species